GGGGCCCGCACAAGCGGUGGAUCAUGUGGUUUAAUUCGAAGCAACGCGCAAAACCUUACCUGGGUUUGACAUCCUCGGACCGCUGUAGAAAUACAGUUUUUGUAGCAAUACAACCGAGAGACAGGUGCUGCAUGGCUGUCGUCAGCUCGUGUGGUGACAUGUUGGGUUAAGUCCCGCAACGAGCGCAACCCUUGUCUUUAGUUGCCAGCAUUAAGUUGGGCACUCUAGAGAGACUGCCGUGGUUAACACGGAGGAAGGUGGGGAUGACGUCAAGUCCUCAUGGCCUUUAUAUCCAGGGCGACACACGUGAUACAAUGGAUGACACAAAGGGAAGCGAACCUGCGAAGGGGAGCGAAUCUCAAAAAGUCAUUCUCAGUUCGGAUUGAAGUCUGCAACUCGACUUCAUGAAGCUGGAAUCGCUAGUAAUCGUGGAUCAGAACGCCACGGUGAAUACGUUCCCGGGCCUUGUACACACCGCCCGUCACACCAUGGGAGCUGACUCAACCAGAAAACGACCAGGCUAACCGCAAGGGGGCCUUCGUUGAAGGUGGGGUUGGUGACUGGGGUGAAGUCGUAACAAGGUAGCCGUAUCGGAAGGUGCGGCUGGAUCACCUCCUU
rnacentral:rRNA from 1 species